GGCCUAAUGGCCCAAUGGCAAGGCGCUUGACUACGAUUAAAUCGGCAAUCAAGAGAUUCCAGGUUCGACCCCUGGUUAGGUCA
rnacentral:tRNA from 1 species